AGCUUUGUACAGUGGCAAUAUCAUAGCCAAUGAGGUUUACUCAACGUGAGACUAUCACUAAUUGAAAACUUUUCCCAAUACCCUACUGUGAUGACUUGCAAUAUAGUUGGCAUUGGCAAUUUUAACAGUUUCCAUGGAGA